GCUAUAUAGGGAGCUGCUGGCAGCGCAGCUCGCUCUUUUGCGUCUGGACUCGGUGCUUGGUUUUGUGCCUUUGGAACAAUGGCGCUCGGUGUAACGAAGCCGUUACGUGAAGAUGCUAAGAUGCAAAGGAAAAUUCCAAAACUUACGGGAGAAUAUUUGCUGGAAAAUUACCUGGCUAAGACCUGACAAUCUUGCCAGCAUCCUGGGAGUUGGUGAUUACUAAUGAAGCUGUGGAUGUCACUGGCUGUCAGAUUCGUUUUGAAUGAGAGGUCGCUGUCUGCCUGUUGAAAGAGGCCAGUUUACUAUGACGUUUUUAAGCUGCAACCAUUUCUGUGUUAGAAGAUUUACCUGCCUUUUGUAUGGAAAACUGGUGAUCUUCAUUUUGUGGACAUGGAAAGAAAACAUGCAGAUCAAGAUUAUCUGGAGUAUUUUUUAGUCAUGUCACACUGUCCUGGAGGCUCACAACCUGUUAACUAGUAGAUUACAUCCUAGCUGUUUCUAGGAGUGCAUGUCAAACUAAGUAUUUGUAAUGGAAUUUUUUUCCCCCAGUUAAGGAGUCUUGUAAUCAAAUAAUUAAUUGGAUGAAUGUAUUUAAAUGUAAAAUGUGUAAUUAAAGCUGUGUAAAAGUUUAUUUGAAAGAAUGUUUAAACUAAAAAAUGGAGAGUAAUGAUGAGAAUAAAGAGGGGCACAGUGUGGCAGUGGAAGGUCGCUGAAAAUAAUUUGAGUUAGAACUAGUCAAACAUUGUACAGAAUGGAUUUAGUGUAAACAGUAAUGACAUCUGAUCUGUCCCAGGUGAUUAGGUCCCCAUUCAUGAUUAUUUUACCUAAAUAGCUCCCAAGCCCUCAUAUUUAAAUAUCAAGAUCAAAAUGCCAAAUUUUUUUCUUCAGUGAGCAGUCAUCUUUUCCCUAAAAUGUUUUCUUGCCUUAGAAGAAUUCUAUUUUGAACCCAUACGGUCAAGAAAGGCUCUGAAAAUGUUUCUUGCACCCAUAUUAAAAUGAACUAAAAUUAAAAGGGCUUAGUAUUUGGGGUAUCUGCACAUUAUAAAACCAGGUGCAAGAAAUUCAGUUUGGGAAAGCAAGGGGCCUUGAGACUUGUUUCAAUGAGAAAAGCAAUUAACAUAUUGUGAGUAUCCUGAUAUUACCAAAAGAAAUGAGAAAGACUAACCUUAGAUAAAUCCUUAGAGGUAAAGUACACCUUCAGGUAAGUAUUCAAUGAGAUUGUGUCUAAAAAAUGCAACAAUUGCAUUCUUGAAUAUUGCAGCUCUGAUAUAAGAUCAGUAAUUAAA